AGAGUUUGAUCCUGGCUCAGAUUGAACGCUGGCGGAAUGCUUUACACAUGCAAGUCGAACGGCAGCACGGGUGCUUGCACCUGGUGGCGAGUGGCGAACGGGUGAGUAAUGCGUCGGAACGUACCGAGUAAUGGGGGAUAACGCAGCGAAAGUUGUGCUAAUACCGCAUACGCCCUGAGGGGGAAAGUGGGGGACCGCAAGGCCUCACGUUAUUCGAGCGGCCGACGUCUGAUUAGCUAGUUGGUGGGGUAAAGGCCUACCAAGGCGACGAUCAGUAGCGGGUCUGAGAGGAUGAUCCGCCACACUGGGACUGAGACACGGCCCAGACUCCUACGGGAGGCAGCAGUGGGGAAUUUUGGACAAUGGGGGCAACCCUGAUCCAGCCAUUCCGCGUGAGUGAAGAAGGCCUUCGGGUUGUAAAGCUC
rnacentral:rRNA from 1 species